GACGUAGGGCGCGAGCGUUGUCCGGAUUUAUUGGGCGUAAAGAGCUCGUAGGCGGCUUGUCGCGUCGUCCGUGAAAACUUGGGGCUCAACCCCAAGCUUGCGGUCGAUACGGGCAGGCUCGAGUUCGGUAGGGGAGACUGGAAUUCCUGGUGUAGCGGUGAAAUGCGCAGAUAUCAGGAGGAACACCGGUGGCGAAGGCGGGUCUCUGGGCCGAUACUGACGCUGAGGAGCGAAAGCGUGGGGAGCAAACAGG
rnacentral:rRNA from 1 species